rnacentral:rRNA from 1 species
AUGAACGCUAGCUACAGGCUUAACACAUGCAAGUCGAGGGCAGCAUGGUCUUAGCUUGCUAAGGCCGAUGGCGACCGGCGCACGGGUGAGUAACACGUAUCCAACCUGCCGUCUACUCUUGGACAGCCUUCUGAAAAGGAAGAUUAAUACAAGAUGGCAUCAUGAGUCCGCAUGUUCACAUGAUUAAAGGUAUUCCGGUAGACGAUGGGGAUGCGUUCCAUUAGAUAGUAGGCGGGGUAACGGCCCACCUAGUCUUCGAUGGAUAGGGGUUCUGAGAGGAAGAUCCCCCACAUUGGAACUGAGACACGGUCCAAACUCCUACGGGAGGCAGCAGUGAGGAAUAUUGGUCAAUGGGCGAGAGCCUGAACCAGCCAAGUAGCGUGAAGGAUGACUGCCCUAUGGGUUGUAAACUUCUUUUAUAAAGGAAUAAAGUCGGGUAUGGAUACCCGUUUGCAUGUACUUUAUGAAUAAGGAUCGGCUAACUCCGUG